ensembl:lncRNA
GUCCACUCAUUAGCCACGAGCAACGUAGAGACACACAACAAUGUAAGUCAUAUUUCAGAUUUUAUAAUAUAAUAAAUGCACUUGAUUUUGACUACAACUGAACAAAAGCAAAUGCAUAUAUUUUGAAAUAAUAUCAAAUUAUCUUAAUUAAAAUAUACUAGAUAUUUUUUUGAACCUCAGAGUAUAUCUUUAUCUGCAUUCAUUGAAAUAUAAUUACAUUUGACCUCUUUUCAACAGAUGAUACAUUCACUGAAUUCACUGACUCUACUAAUGAGCUUAGAUUUAUUAUGCUCGGCGGUGAUGAAGACCUUAUGGAUGAUGCAUGUCACAUCAUUCUUAGAGAAAGAGCUGAAAGAACUGAAAUACGGCACAGAAAAGGUCAUGUGUUUGGCAGAAAGAUCUGUGUGGUGAAAACACCUUCCACCAGCAUGAGUCAUGAGGCAUCACACUGUUGCUUUAAAUCAAGAGAAAAAUCUAUGAAAGAUGAGAUGGUAGAUUGUGCAUCUCUGGUCUUUCCUGGACCUCAUGCAUUUCUAUUAGUGGUCAACAACAGGAAAGUGACUGAGAAGGAGUAUAAUAUUUAAAAAGAAAUUGCCAACGUGUUUGGCGAAGAAGCCUUAGACUAUGCGAUGGCUUUGAUCAUUGGAAGACCUGAACCGAAAGGAAUCAAUAGUGUCAGGAAGCAUGUAAAUAGGUGUUAUACAUUAGAGGACAAUGAGCAAAGUGUUCAGGGUCUAUUCAGAGAAACUGAAAGAAUGACACAAAACAAGAAAUCCACAUUUUUUAUUCAGUCAUCAUAUGAAAAACUCAUGAAAAAGACAUUUUUAUCAUGGGAAAAGGAAAAACAUGCAGAAAUGAGAAAAGAAAACGAGAGACUUCGAAAGGAGAAAGAAGAACAGCACUCCAAAAAAGUGAAUGAAUUAAAAGAAGAGUUCAGAAUUACUGAAAACAAACUAAGAAAAGACAUAGCAGAAAAAGAAGAUCAGCAUGCACAGGACGUGGCUAAAAUAGUAGAAACUGAGUGUAACCAAAAGAGAGACAUAGAGACUUUGAAAUGUUUCAUGAUUGAUCAUUUUAUACACAUAACCAGUCAGCAUGCGGUGCAACCGGUCAUUUCAAGUUCCCAUGAGAAUCCACUGAUUAAAAAAUUAGAGGCAGACGGUGAGAAAAACCCGAGAAAUAUAUUUUCUUCAAUUAUUGAUGAUCUGGUAGAGAAGUUAAAGACUUCUAAAGAGGGUGAGAGAUACUUGAUUGAAACUUUUCUUCAGCGCGAGAAUGAACAGAAAAAUAAAAUUGAAGAACUCCAAGAAGAAGUUGAGCAACUCAAAGCAAAGAAAAGUGAGCUAGAAAAGAAACUGAUGGAAGCAAAUGAAGGAGAAACAUGGGCUAAUAAACAGGUGGAGGUAACACUAGAUAGAAAUCUGCCUACAGAUUUGGACAAACUUCAAGGGGAUCUGGAUAGACAAGACAUACAAGAUGAGCAUAAAGUGAAAUCACAGCAUGUAAUCAGUGGAUCAGGACAUGAGCGACUCAGCAGCAUGGAGUCAACUUCACCUGUCUUAUCUGAAGAAAAUAAAGACAGACCUCUAGAUGAAACAGUGGGAGAAAUAAAGAGCAGAAAGGAAGAUUCACAAGCCAGUGAAUCACACAAUUCUGGAGGCUUCAAACUUGUGCGACGGAAAAGUAUUAACAAGCCACCCGAUAUGACUGGAAGUGAACACGGACCUCUACAUGCUCUCUGAAGAUUGUGAUUACAAAGAGGUAAAUUUAAGGCUUUCACACUUUUCCAGUGAAGUUCAUCUCAUCAAUAUUCAUCAGUCUGCUGUUAUGUCGUCAGGAAAAGACCAAUGAAAACAAUUAUUACACAAAAAGCAAAGUGGCAGAUCCUCUUUGAGUGUGAAACAGCCAACAAAACAAGUAUAACAUUUUGCCAUGAUGGACAAUAUCUUGGAUUAGACUGUGGAUUAUGGGCAACUGAACACCAAAUAAUUUAAAGAUAGUGUCAGUGCAUGAAAAAAGAAAUAAAAUAUACAGGAACCAAAAAAGCA